ensembl:miRNA
CCAAUGCUGGUCGUCUCACAGUGGACAGAGUGAGAGAGUCAGCGGUUGGGGGGCAAGUCUCCAAGAGACUUGCCCUUCUUCCUCUGACCUUCCCAAUCUCCUGCCACUCCAGGGUUCUGGG